AGUUGGGGUGGCAGAGCCCGGCUAAUGCAAAAGACCUAAGCCCUUUCCACAGAGGUUCAAAUCCUCUCCUUAACUA
rnacentral:tRNA from 1 species